UACGGGGGGGGCAAGCGUUGUUCGGAAUUACUGGGCGUAAAGGGCUCGUAGGUGGUCAACUAAGUCGGACGUGAAAUCCCUCGGCUUAACCGGGGAACUGCGUCUGAUACUGGAUGGCUUGAGUUCGGGAGAGGGAUGCGGAAUUCCAGGUGUAGCGGUGAAAUGCGCAGAUAUCAGGAGGAACACCGGUGGCGAAGGCGGGUCUCUGGGCAACACUGACGCUGAGGAGCGAAAGCGUGGGGAGCGAACAGG
rnacentral:rRNA from 1 species